rnacentral:rRNA from 1 species
GGUUAAGUUAAUAAGGGCGCACGGUGGAUGCCUUGGCACUAGAAGCCGAAGAAGGACGUGACAAACGACGAAAUGCUUUGGGGAGCUGUAAGUAAGCGCUGAUCCAGAGAUGUCCGAAUGGGGGAACCCACUAACUAAUGGUUAGUAUCCAUAACUGUUAAGGUUAUGAGAAGGAAGACGCAGUGAACUGAAACAUCUAAGUAGCUGCAGGAAGAGAAAGCAAACGCGAUUGCCUUAGUAGCGGCGAGCGAAACGGCAGGAGGGCAAACCGAAGUGUUUACACUUCGGGGUUGUAGGACUGCGACGUGGGACUUUAAAAGGAUAGAAGAAUUACCUGGGAAGGUAAGCCAAAGAGAGUAAAAGCCUCGUAUUUAAAAUUCUUUUGAGCCCUAGCAGUAUCCUGAGUACGGCGAGACACGUGAAAUCUCGUUGGAAUCUGGGAGGACCAUCUCCCAACCCUAAAUACUCUCUAGUGACCGAUAGUGAACCAGUACCGUGAGGGAAAGGUGAAAAGCACCCCGGGAGGGGAGUGAAAUAGAACCUGAAACCGUGUGCCUACAACAAGUUCGAGCCCGUUAAUGGGUGAGAGCGUGCCUUUUGUAGAAUGAACCGGCGAGUUACGAUAUGAUGCGAGGUUAAGUUGAAGAGACGGAGCCGUAGGGAAACCGAGUCUUAAUAGGGCGAUUUAGUAUCAUGUUGUAGACCCGAAACCAUGUGACCUACCCAUGAGCAGGUUGAAGGUGAGGUAAAACUCACUGGAGGACCGAACCAGGGCACGUUGAAAAGUGCUUGGAUGACUUGUGGGUAGCGGAGAAAUUCCAAACGAACUUGGAGAUAGCUGGUUCUCUCCGAAAUAGCUUUAGGGCUAGCGUCGAUGUUAAGUCUCUUGGAGGUAGAGCACUGUUUGGGUGAGGGGUCCAUCUCGGAUUACCAAUCUCAGAUAAACUCCGAAUGCCAACGAGAUAUCAUCGGCAGUCAGACUGCGAGUGCUAAGAUCCGUAGUCGAAAGGGAAACAGCCCAGACCACCAGCUAAGGUCCCAAAAUAACUGUUAAGUGGAAAAGGAUGUGGGGUUGCACAGACAACUAGGAUGUUAGCUUAGAAGCAGCUAUUCAUUCAAAGAGUGCGUAAUAGCUCACUAGUCGAGUGACCCUGCGCCGAAAAUGUACCGGGGCUAAAACAGUUUACCGAAGCUGUGGAUGACACAAAAGUGUCAUGGUAGGAGAGCGUUCUAUGUGUGAAGAAGGUGUACCGUGAGGAGCGCUGGAACGCAUAGAAGUGAGAAUGCCGGUAUGAGUAGCGAAAGACAGGUGAGAAUCCUGUCCACCGUAAGACUAAGGUUUCCAGGGGAAGGCUCGUCCGCCCUGGGUUAGUCGGGACCUAAGGAGAGACCGAAAGGUGUAUCCGAUGGCCAACAGGUUGAUAUUCCUGUACUAGAGUAUAUAGUGAUGGAGGGACGCAGUAGGCUAACUAAACCGGACGAUUGGAAGAGUCCGGCUAAGCAGUGAGGUGUAAGAUGAGUCAAAUGCUUAUCUUUAUAACAUUGAGCUGUGAUGGGGAGCGAAUUUUAGUAGCGAAGUUAGUGAUGUCACACUGCCAAGAAAAGCUUCUAGCGUUUAAUGAUACUCUACCCGUACCGCAAACCGACACAGGUAGUCGAGGCGAGUAGCCUCAGGUGAUCGAGAGAACUCUCGUUAAGGAACUCGGCAAAAUGACCCCGUAACUUCGGGAGAAGGGGUGCUGACUUAGGUCAGCCGCAGUGAAUAGGCCCAAGCAACUGUUUAUCAAAAACACAGCUCUCUGCUAAAUCGUAAGAUGAUGUAUAGGGGGUGACGCCUGCCCGGUGCUGGGAGGUUAAGAGGAGGGUUUAGCGCAAGCGAAGAUCUGAAUUGAAGCCCCAGUAAACGGCGGCCGG